AUUUUCUAGGUAACAGUUCGUCAUAUCAGAGAUUCUCAGACCUUGGUGACGCUUACCUUAGGAUGCAACACAUCCAGUCGGACCUGUAGAGUACCCACCAGGGAGAGAGCUGAAGUCAGUUUACGUGGUGAGCGCAAACAGUUUAGACUAGAUUUUCAGCCCACAGCAGAAUAAACCAACUCAUCGGCUGCCACAUGGCGAUUCUAUUUUCGUCUUCACAUUCAAGAACCGGUAUCUCCACCCACAGCGAGUGAAAGAGUGCAACCCCCCCCCCCUCAAAGUUCCCCAGAAAAACCAGCAGAAGUCUCCACACGCACCACCACCACCUCCACAGACCAAAUGCGGGCACCUGUCAAGGUAUAACUCAGUCGCCAUCGACGUCAGUAACAAGCUUACAAGUGAUUAUACCUCGGGAUUAACACAACGUAACACGGUGUCAACCACAGCGAGCGCAUGUGGGGACGUCGAGAUGUUAACGCGCACGUAAACGAUCCAGAUAGCCCAACUGGAAGAAAAGGCGGAGUUGUCGAAUCAAGCAGCGACGUCGACCUGCGGCAGUGGUGACUGCUCACCCGCCCUGACGUGAUCAGUUUGAGUUGUGAGUUCUCACUAGUAGCACCUCGCCUUUUGAAACGUCGAUCUCUCCUGGCCUGUGGUGGGUCGAUACUGGACAGGAAACAAACCGCUGGGACGACUUCAGCUAUUUUAAUUCAGACCUGUGUCUUGCCAGGCGAAGUAGCCACGAACCCUUUAUCGAUAAAUCGGACGUAUUAGUGGGAGGGAACUCAUCCCUUUGUUAUGACGAAGGAUUUUUUUCCAGUCGUUCGCAAUUUUCCUAAAGGAUACAAGGAAUUUACAGUUGCUUCUUGUUCCAUUGUUUCGAGUGGAUCUCCGUUUCAUCUUUAUCUCACUCUGAACUCAUCAACCUAACGAAGAAAGACAGUGACCUAAUUUGGCUUUGACAAGGUUAUUAUGUUCAUUGUUUGAUGGAAACGUGUAUCAUCACGUGAAGGGAAACUAAUAACAUUUAUUAUUCCAGUUCCUUCUGGGUUCUCGACUUGCUGUCUGAUCGGGAAAACCGAAAACACACCCGCUGUAAGUGGCAGAGUGGGUUUCAGCUGACGUUUUACUCUUUAAAAAGGUCUGGGACACACUGAAAGUGUAUUAUUAUGCUCUUAGAAUCCACGCUAAAGUAAAAGUAAUUUCGAAAGAACCAUUCAGGAAUACAAGAGUUGUUUACGCUAGGUUGGAGUGGAGACGAAGACAGACAAGAUGAGUCUUGGAGCUACUUAUCGGAGACGAGGCAGAAAAUCGUGGCCGCCGAUUAAACGUGUGCGUUGUAGCCUCGUUCUCUGUCAUUACUGCCUUGACAAAAGUGGAUGCUUUAGCCUAUAAAGUGGUUCUUACCGUACGCUCUAAGUCACACGCGUAUCAAAGCUUCAGCUGCAAAGGUAGAGAAAAGUGAACGGUAUCCAAUUGGAAUAUAAGAAGUAGCGGUGUACAACUUUCUUAGGAGGAGAAACAGACUCUUAACCUUAAGAUUUCUCGUUAGGAAUAAUGUGCACACUUUACUGCGAAAGGAUUCAGUUUUUCUACACGACGUAACAGGAUUGCUCCAUUUUGUAACUCUUAUCUUUGCCUAGUACAUUUCUGUGAACGUACACAAAAUACAAACUUGAGAGCAACAACUGGAGUUUCUGAUAGCAGUACUUUGCACUUGAGUAUUUCUGAGUCUAUUUUUUUUUUUCAAAUCCCUCAGAAGAUUUGACACCACUUGCUCGUUUUCUAUGUCAUGCUUUCCAAAAUCUAUAGUGCAGUUUCAGUCAAGUGAACGAAACAGAACAGCUUACGUUCCCACGCCAUUGAGGGAAACUUGAGGUUGUAGUGACAGUCUUUUGUCUUGAGAACCUGGAUAUAGACAUACUGGUCUCUGUCUGUGGACUCAUCAGUACAGACGUACUUCGAAUCAAUACUGGAUGGAGAUGAUUCAAACUUGUCGUACCACACGCUUUACAUCCCGAGGCUAAGCGGUCGGAUGUAUUGAAUUGACUUCUUCACCGAGAACUGUCUUCAGGGGAAAUAUUAAUUCAGUCAUUUCUUCCAGCUCUCAUUUUGCUCCUGACCUGACAAGGUGGUAGAUGGACAAUGUCUAGUUGUGGAUUGCUGUGGUAAGAGCAAAAUGUCGGGCGUAUACUGUGGUUUGCUUUUGAGAGCAACUUAAAUGCAAGAACUUCCUGGAGAGUUUCCAUUCUUGACUUACCGGAACUCGAAAUCAUUGUCUAAUAGACGAUAGUAUAUUCAACGCAGAAAAAUACUACUAAAUUAAAGAUUUAUAGUGCC